rnacentral:snRNA from 1 species
UUAAAAAAAAAAAAAAAAAGUUGGAAUGAUACAGAGAAGAUUAGCAUGGCCCCUGUGCAAGGAUGACAUGUAAAUUUGUGAAGCGUUCCAUAAAUUA